CCUACGGGGGGCAGCAGUGGGGAAUAUUGGACAAUGGGGGCAACCCUGAUCCAGCCAUGCCGCGUGUGUGAAGAAGGCCCUCGGGUUGUAAAGCACUUUCAGUGAGGAAGAACGCCUGGUGGUUAAUACCCAUCAGGAAAGACAUCACUCACAGAAGGAGCACCGGCUAACUCCGUGCCAGCAGCCGCGGUAAUACGGAGGGUGCGAGCGUUAAUCGGAAUUACUGGGCGUAAAGCGCGCGUAGGUGGCUUGAUAAGCCGGUUGUGAAAGCCCCGGGCUCAACCUGGGAACGGCAUCCGGAACUGUCAAGCUAGAGUGCAGGAGAGGAAGGUAGAAUUCCCGGUGUAGCGGUGAAAUGCGUAGAGAUCGGGAGGAAUACCAGUGGCGAAGGCGGCCUUCUGGACUGACACUGACACUGAGGUGCGAAAGCGUGGGUAGCAAACAGGAUUAGAUACCCCUGUAGUC
rnacentral:rRNA from 1 species